rnacentral:lncRNA from 1 species
AAAGAUCCCCUUUGAUGGUGUUACCGAAAGGUAGUAUGAGCUAAACAAAGUCGCACUGUGCCAUCCUAUAAUUUUGUCCAAGAAAAUGUGUCCUCUUCAUGCCAAAUCAACUCCUCAACAUUCUUUGGGCUAAGAAUUAAUGCAUAGUUGCAAAUAACCAUAUACAUUUUGUUAAUUUUAAGAUAAUUAUUUUUAUUAUUUACCUUGAAAUAUGCUCUUUAUUGUAAGAGGAUUAAUUAACUUUGGCCCUUUCCUGGUAUCAUUUAUCCUUGGAUACUGAGUGCGUCUUAUAAUUCUGUUUUCUAUGAAGAACUUUAGAGAUGGAGCUUGUUUGUUGUAUUCACACUUGUAUGAGGCAUUUUGUAAAGAAGUUCUUUACUUUGCAGAUAGAUAGCAUAAUAGAAGCACAGGGCAGACAGAUGAUCUGCAAAGGUCACACUAACAGUGUUUACAUUUAUGUCUGACUCCACUGCCUACUCUCUUUAGGUCAGAAUGCCUCCUAGGCCCUCAAAAGCGGAGGCAGCCAGAAACCCAGCAUUAUUCUUUCUAAUCCUCAGUCCUGUAAAUGAGAAAAUGAUGUCUUACUUUUAUAAAGUACUACUAAUAAUAGGGUCUGCAUAGGGUACAUGAGUGGCAAAGCACCUUCACAAACAUAUCAUUUGGUCUUCUCUUAUCACCCCAGGAAGUGGUGAAGAAGCAGGCAAGUGGGAAACUGAGGCUCGGAAAGCUAAAAUGGCUUGUCUGAGGACCCACAGCUCAAAAACAGCAGUGUUGUGCCUGAAACUUAACACUUUUAGACUGUGGUGCCGAGUUCUGUUCUCUGUACCUCUCUGGUUUUUGGCAUGAAAAUAAAGCAGGGAAAGUUAGCAAAGAAAUUCAUUAACAAAGUUACCAUUUAAAUAACCUCUCCAUCAAAUACAUGGUCUUCAUACUGCAACAUUUCCAGGUGAAUAACUUUGGUGUUUCUCUUCUGACAGUGGCGUUCACAAUACAUACAAGAGGGAGCUUGGAGAUCACACAUUUCCUUACCUUGGAGGCUGAAGAAGAUCCUGGUUUAUGAACUCUCUGUUAGUAAGAAAACCAGCAAAAAGGCCUUUCAGAUUCUCCGUCCCAUAUAGUGUGCUAUUCAGGAGAGCCGAUAGAGGGCGGUUACUGAACACAGAUCGUGUGAAAAUUAACAGCUUCCGAACUGAUUUCUUUGCAUUGGCUUUGUCAGUUUUACUUUCUAUUUCUUGGGAAAUAUUUCUAUUUCUAGUUCUAUUAGAUUUCUAUUUCUAUUCGUUUCUAUUUCUUGGGAGUAUGUCAGGGGAAGGCCAAGAUCAUAGCAGCAACGCAGACAGGAUUUAUGAAGUCUGCUUACCAUUUCUCAUAGAACUCUAGAUUCUCCAAGCCUACAAGAUUCUCCAAGCCUACAAGAUUUAUUCUAAUAACCCCUGAAGUUAAUCAGAUUCAUCUUAUCCCUGACUCCUCACCCCUCUUCUCUCACCAAUACACAUGUCCUCUUGCUCCUGGUAAUAACACAAAAACAACAUGGUUAAAUUUUGGACUGAACAAUUACUAGGCAAGAGAAAGCACAAAAUCCUUUGGUCUUGCACAGCUAAUGGUAAGCAGCAACUGGAAAUAAAAACAAAUACACAUUAUGAGUUCAGCUAUAUCUCAAGUUAGUUUUUUUGCUUUUGCUUUUGUUUUCUUUUCCCUGCUCUAUUAAUGAGUUAAUCAAUUAAGAUUUUCUUUCCUUGCAUGGAAAGAUUUUUGGCUUUGUUUUUAGAUUAAGAAAGCUUUUCUCAGUUUCUUAGUUAAUUAUGAACAUGCACUAUCACAUCAUCUUGGACUCAAUUCAAAAACUUAUCUAAAACAUGUAAUUACUGGGAAAUUCCAGAUUAAUUUCCUGCAAGUUUUAGUUAGUUAACGAUUGUGUUAAACACUUAAGAGAGCAGCUCCUAGAUGACUAAACCUGCUCAGCUGAAAUCAAAUGCUCUCAUGCUUCCCUGAAUGGACACACACAGAGUCUCUUCACCUGAGGAAUAAAGUGUAAGAUCUUCAGAACUUUUAUUCAGGGGAGAAAGGCCCAGGUAGCUGCUGCUGUUCAGCUUAAGGCUAAUCUGACCUUCUAUAACAGGAGUUCAAGUCCCAGAAAUCCCUAGUCCUCCAUCAGAGGCUUCACUCAUUACAGGAGAAGAGAGUCUGGGUUGCUCCCUCAUCAAUCAAGUGCAGAGUCCAGGAAGGGAGAGGCGGGCAGUAACGUGCAUGGAGCUGUCACCUCCUAUGACAACAACACCUUCUGGAAUACCUCCUGAAGGACACGCCUGAGGAUGUUUUACAGUUAACUUUUUAAAAAAUACAUAAGUAGAAAGAGAACACUCUAAAAUAAAAAUAAAAGGUAUAGUAUAAUAAACACAAUAACAAAGUCACUUAUUACUAUCAAGCAUUGUAUGCUGUACAUAAUUGUAUGUGCUAUGCUUUUAUAUGACUAACAGUGCAAUAGAUUUGUUUACACCACCAUCACUAAGGGCAUGCAAGUAAUGUGUUGUGCUACAACAUACUACAACUAUGAUGCCACUAGGUAACAGAAAAUGUUCAGCUCCAUUAUAAUCUUAUGGGACCACCUUCCUAGAUGCAGUCUGUCAUUGAUGGAAACGUUGUUACACAGCACAUGACUAUAGACUAAUAGCCAUAGAUUUAUAAUAUGGGAGGAUGUACUAUAUAUGCAUUGAAAAGAGCUCUGGAAGGAUACCAAUACAUUACCAGAGGUUGCUUCUGGGCCUUAGGGUAUGUGUGGUUUUAUAUUUUCUCCUUUGCACUUUUCUGUGUCGUAUCCAAAAUUUCAACAACAUAAUACAUUUACUGUUAGGAAAAAUAACCUAUUAAUUAAAAACAAGAUACAGGAAAGAGGGAAAUGUUGC